CCUACGGGAGGCAGCAGUGAGGAAUAUUGGGCAAUGGGCGCAAGCCUGACCCAGCAACGCCGCGUGAAGGAAGAAGGAUUUCGGGUUGUAAACUUCUUUUAGCAGGGACGAAGGAAGUGACGGUACCUGAGUAAUAAGCCACGGCUAACUACGUGCCAGCAGCCGCGGUAAUACGUAGGUGGCAAGCGUUAUCCGGAUUUACUGGGUGUAAAGGGCGUGUAGGCGGGACUGCAAGUCAGAUGUGAAAACCAGGGGCUCAACCUAUGGACUGCGUUUGAAACUGUAGUUCUUGAGUACUGGAGAGGCAGACGGAAUUCCUAGUGUAGCGGUGAAAUGCGUAGAUAUUAGGAGGAACACCAGUGGCGAAGGCGGUCUGCUGGACAGCAACUGACGCUGAGGCGCGAAAGCGUGGGGAGCAAACAGGAUUAGAUACCCUAGUAGUC
rnacentral:rRNA from 1 species